AUUGCCCUAGUAACGGCGAGUGAAGCGGCAACAGCUCAAAUUUGAAAUCUGGCGCAAGCCCGAGUUGUAAUUUGGAGAGGAUGCUUCAGGGCAGCGGCCGGUCUAAGUUCCUUGGAACAGGACGUCAUAGAGGGUGAGAAUCCCGUAUGCGACCGGUUGGCACCCGUCACGUAGCUCCUUCGACGAGUCGAGUUGUUUGGGAAUGCAGCUCUAAAUGGGAGGUAAAUUUCUUCUAAAGCUAAAUAUUGGCCAGAGACCGAUAGCGCACAAGUAGAGUGAUCGAAAGAUGAAAAGCACUUUGGAAAGAGAGUUAAAAAGCACGUGAAAUUGUUGAAAGGGAAGCGCAUGCAAUCAGACUUGUCGGCGGUGUUCCGCCGGUCUUUCGACCGGUCUACUCGCCGCCGGCAGGCCAGCAUCAUCUGGGUGCGCCGGACAAAGGCGCAAAAAUUACUCCUCGGAGUGUUAUAGCCCCGCGCACAAUACGGCGCCGCCCGGGUGAGGUCCGCGCUUCGGCUAGGAUGCUGGCGUAAUGGGUUGUAUGCGGCCCGUCUUGAAACACGGACCAAGGAGUCUAACAUCUAUGCGAGUGUUCGGGUGUCAAACCCCUACGCGGAAUGAAAGUGAACGGAGGUGGGAAGCGCAAGCUGCACCAUCGACCGAUCCUGAUGUCUUCGGAUGGAUUUGAGUAAGAGCAUAGCUGUUGGGACCCGAAAGAUGGUGAACUAUGCCUGAAUAGGGUGAAGCCAAAGGAAACUCUGGUGGAGGCUCGCAGCGGUUCUGACGUGCAAUCGAUCGUCAAAUUUGGGUAUAGGGGGCGAAAGACUAAUCGAACCAUCU
rnacentral:rRNA from 1 species